ACGGGAGGCAGCAGUGGGGGAUAUGGCGCAAUGGGGGCAACCCUGACGCAGCAACGCCGCGUGAAGGAUGAACGUUUUCGGAUUGUAAACUUCUUUUAUUAAGGACGAAAAUUGACGGUACUUAAUGAAUAAGCUCCGGCUAACUACGUGCCAGCAGCCGCGGUAAUACGUAGGGAGCAAGCGUUGUCCGGAUUUACUGGGUGUAAAGGGUGCGUAGGCGGCUUUGCAAGUCAGAUGUGAAAUCUAUGGGCUCAACCCAUAAACUGCAUUUGAAACUGUAGAGCUUGAGUGAAGUAGAGGCAGGCGGAAUUCCCCGUGUAGCGGUGAAAUGCGUAGAGAUGGGGAGGAACACCAGUGGCGAAGGCGGCCUGCUGGGCUUUAACUGACGCUGAGGCACGAAAGCGUGGGUAGCAAACAGGAUUAGAUACCCUGGUAGUCCACGCUGUAAACGAUGAUUACUAGGUGUGGGGGGUCGACCCCUUCCGUGCC
rnacentral:rRNA from 1 species